rnacentral:rRNA from 1 species
CCUACGGGAGGCUGCAGUGGGGAAUAUUCCACAAUGGGCGCAAGCCUGAUGCAGCAAUGCCGCGUGGGUGAAGAAGGUCUUCGGAUUGUAAAACCCUUUUUGCAGAGAAGAAAGUGCGUGUGUGUAACUGCUCACCUUUUGACGUUAUCUAACAAGAAAGCCCCGGCUAACUCCGUGCCAGCAGCCGCGGUAAUACGUAGGUGGCAAGCGUUAACCGGCAUUACUGGGCGUAAAGGGAACGCAGGCGGUCUUUUAAGUCAGAUGUGAAAGCCGCGGGCUUAACCGGGGUAGUGCAUGUGAUACUGGCAGGCUUGAGUGUCGGAGAGGGGAGUGGAACUCCAGGUGUAGCGGUGAAAUGCGUAGAGAUAUGGAAGAACACCGGUGGCGAAGGCGGCUCCCUGGACGAAGACUGACGCUGAGGUGCGAAAGCGUGGGUAGCAAACAGGAUUAGAUACCCUAGUAGUC